GACGAACGCUGGCGGCGUGCCUAAUACAUGCAAGUCGAGCGAAGUUUUUCUGGUGCUUGCACUAGAAAAACUUAGCGGCGAACGGGUGAGUAACACGUAAAGAACCUGCCUCAUAGACUGGGACAACUAUUGGAAACGAUAGCUAAUACCGGAUAACAGCAUUAACUGCAUGGUUGAUGUUUAAAAGUUGGUUUUGCUAACACUAUGAGAUGGCUUUGCGGUGCAUUAGCUAGUUGGUGGGGUAAAGGCCUACCAAGGCGACGAUGCAUAGCCGACCUGAGAGGGUGAUCGGCCACACUAGGACUGAGACACGGCCCAGACUCCUACGGGAGGCAGCAGUAGGGAAUCUUCCGCAAUGGGCGAAAGCCUGACGGAGCAACGCCGCGUGAGUGAAGAAGGAUUUCGGUUCGUAAAGCUCUGUUGUUAGGGAAGAAUGAUUGUGUAGUAACUAUACACAGUAGAGACGGUACCUAACCAGAAAGCCACGGCUAACUACGUG
rnacentral:rRNA from 1 species